rnacentral:rRNA from 1 species
UACGUAGGGGGCAAGCGUUGUCCGGAUUUAUUGGGCGUAAAGAGCGUGUAGGCGGCCAUACAGGUCAGCUGUGAAAACUCGAGGCUCAACCUCGAGACGUCGGUUGAAACCGUAUGGCUAGAGUCCGGAAGAGGAGAGUGGAAUUCCCGGUGUAGCGGUGAAAUGCGCAGAUAUCGGGAAGAACACCGAUGGCGAAGGCAGCUCGCUGGGACGGUACUGACGCUGAGACGCGAAAGCGUGGGGAGCAAACAGG